AUACGGAGGGUGCAAGCGUUAUUCGGAAUCACUGGGCGUAAAGGACGCGUAGGCGGGUUGGCAAGUCAGAUGUGAAAUCCUACAGCUUAACUGUAGAACUGCAUUUGAAACUGCUAACCUAGAGUAUGGGAGGGGGAGAUGGAAUUAGUGGUGUAGGGGUAAAAUCCGUAGAUAUCACUAGGAAUACCGAAAGCGAAGGCGAUCUCCUGGAACAUAACUGACGCUAAGGCGUGAAACCGUGGGGAGCAAACAGGAUUAGAAACCCUAGUAGUCC
rnacentral:rRNA from 1 species